rnacentral:lncRNA from 1 species
GGAGCUCUUACUUCACGUGUAAAAUGGGGUUCAUUUUCAAUGUGUCCUACUAAUAUAAUAGUACAAUAUAUUGAUGCCACCUCAGGUAGCAGGUCGCGAGUAAUUCACAAGGAAAAACUUCGUAUUUUUUUUAUUUAUACACUAGUCCUGUGUCGAUAUUACUCAAAUGUCAUCCAAAAAUAUGGUAAAUUUAACGAAUCGGAAAGAGCACUAAUCAGCCUCCUUCCCACGGAAGCCGGCGUAAAAUACGGAUUAAUUAGUCGCCAAUUCAGAUCUUGACAAAAAAUAAGAACAAUAAUAUCGUAUAUAUUUUUAAAAUGAUAACAAACAAAAAGUGGUUACGAGCCGCCGAGGUGAGUGGGUUAUAGGUAAACGUAUAAACUGGAGAAACUGCGUGGUUCAGUGGGGUUCAAACAAGGCUCUCGUCUAACCAAACACGAAUCAGUGGGGUUCCUAAGGAAAAAAACUCACCGUACCAGAACAUUAUAUAUAAUUAUUCACAAAGAUCUGGGAAACUUUUCGUGAAUAUAAACUCAAUGUUAAUCAGUGUGCAAUUCAGUAACCCACUUAACCUACUUUAUUUUAAAGUGUUUUUCUUUUUUUAAUAAUAAUUAAACAAACUACAUACACUGAGAAAAUGACAAGUGUUUGUAUGCAUGCCUUAUUAUUGCGUGGUCUCCAUUUGUAGUAUUUUGGAGAGAUUAGUUAGUGAAAUUAUGAAAAUGACGAUUUGCUGAUGCUGUUUUUUAGGUGAUUGGGCAUCCGGUGCCUGUCCACAUAACAUUAUUUUAUACAAUUAUCUUUGUCGUUAGAGCGAGGGUCCUCAGGAUUUACUAAGAUCGUUACGACAUCCAUCAACAGUAAACAUUUCUGACAUUCCAACUCGUUUGGCGACUUUUGUGAACCACAUUGAACCCAGUUUUUUAUUCCAAAUAAUGAACAGUGGUUCCAUUCCGCGCAACAACAUCGUUGGCAAAAGAUGGUAAACUCCAGAAGUACUUAGAAUGGAAGUAUACUUCAGCCCACACUUCUGUUAGCGAUAGGUCACAUGGGAUAAUGGAGCUCUACAGCCUGUAGGAUCGGUUUCACGAAAACAUCCAACUGAAUGGUGUGCUAAGACGCUUAUCGAUCGAUCCUCAAAUUCCCGCCAACGUAAACAGCGAAUCACAUGAACUGCACCAAAUUAAUUCCUGAACAUGAUCAAAGCCACCCAUGUCUUCAUGAAACGACUUCUUGUAGAUCUGCGAAAUGAAAGAAAAACCAGCAAACCUGAAUGGAGUAAUAAUAUUAACUUUAAAGUUUAGUAUUUUAAUUUUGGGAUAGGUAAUAGAACCUCUACAUGCGUCUUGGACCUUUGGUUAGUGGUUUAUACUUAUAAGCAUUAUUAAUUUGAUGGUUUCUUAUAUUUUCAAUGGGGUCUGGAAAGUGGACCAUGCCGUGAAAUAUUGUAUAUUAGGUGCACGCGUAUAAUGCGUACGUUGUUUUGUAUCUUUUGUAUGUCAAUCCAUUGGAGAAAUAUCGUAAUUGAAGCUAGCAUGUACUGUAUGUAAAGUUAUUACUUGGUAAUGGAUAGGUGUGAUUUGAUGAUGCAUAUUUAUCACAGGAUCGGAUUUAACCAUGCCGCGAUUUUGCAAAUUAGGCAUUGGUGAAUGGUGAUAAGACCUGCACAGUCGCUUGUGAUUUUGUGUUGUGUAAUUUUCCUGUAUCUCAUUUAGUAAAUGGUUUUCUUAUAUCUUCACAGGGUCUGGAAAGUAGACCAUGCCGUGUAAUAUUGCAAACUGGGUUCCUUAUAGUAUUUAAGUAUAUGUAUACUUAUGUAGGUGCAGUUAGAUGAUGUACAUACAGCCAGGGUCUUGAAAGCAAACCAUGCCGUGAAAUAUGUGAAACCAGGGCGCUGUAAAACACAGUGUGUUUUAUUACGCCCUGGUGAAACCUACGGUUUGUGUCAUGUAUAGCUAGCAGUGGCGUAGUCAGACCUUAAUUUUUGGUGGGCGAAGCGAACACCGAAGGCGUGAGAGUCGUGAGACCGUCUAGGGGGGUUCGGGGGCAUGACCCCCAGGAAACAUUUUGAAAUCUAGAGUCCCUGAAAUGCGAUUUCAAGCAUUUUGGGGGUGAAAUCUUGCAGAAUUCCAAUGAUUAUAAAGUACAUCGAAGACAUAAAUUUUCCCAGACAUUUCUACUCGGAAUUAAAUAAAUUGGAAAAGUCACCUUGAAAAACAGGACGAGGGGUCAGUGUCACCUUAGAG